rnacentral:rRNA from 1 species
UACAUGGGGUGCAAACGUUGCUCGGAAUCAUUGGGCGUAAAGCGCACGUAGGCGGUUCGUUAUGUCGGAUGUGAAAGCCCUCGGCUUAACCGGGGAAGUGCAUCCGAAACUGGCGAGCUUGAGUACUAAAGAGGGUCGCGGAAUUCCCGGUGUAGAGGUGAAAUUCGUAGAUAUCGGGAGGAACACCAGCGGCGAAGGCGGCGACCUGGGUAGAUACUGACGCUGAGGCUCGAAAGCAUGGGGAGCAAACAGG